AGGCUCAGGUGAGGCGUGUGCAGGUAGUCUGUCGACAGAGACUCUCGCUGCUCUCAGAGACUUUGUAUUGACGGAAGUCUUCCCAGGCUGAAGGAAACUCUUUGUUUAAACAGAGUUUCACACCUCUUAAAUCGAGCGUUUUCUCUAUGGAGUCUGUGCCCGUGAGGAGGAAGUCCUGCCUGCUGCGGCUCAGGGACAACUGGCCGUUCAGGAAGCUGCGCAGACAAACAUACGAUGUUCACAUGGAUGAAGAUCCUCCAGCUGCAGAGAACCAGCAGAACCAGGAGAACCCCGAGAGCAGAGCUGAGGACUGUAUGGAUCUGGACGAUGACGUUGACCCUGAAACUGGCGAGAGAGCACAGGGAUGACUCUGCCCAGCACUUUUCAAUCACAGAAACCACACCCAACCCUCCUUAAACACCCUUAAAUCCCAGCAGGACCUCCCAGUUUGAAAAGUGAAGCUAAUGUGGAACAUCCUAAACCAUUCCGUAAAUGUUUGUCCCUUUUAGAGAAAAAUAGAAGAUAUAUGGCGCAUUAAGCCCUUCCCCUUCCACGCCACAGAAAAAAUAUGUACGGCAGUCAUUUUUUCAAUUCAACGACUCUUGGUCCUUUCAUCAUCACAUCAUCUAUGCUUGGAAGCUCUUUGACGUUAGCUUCAGUUGUGUUAGCGUCAGUGAUCAUGACAAACAUCGUGUGUAAUUCAAGGCACAUUUCAAACAGGAUCUAAACAUUAGUUGCCGUUGACUAACGUACAUUUUUACCAAACUAAUGUCCCAUGGUGGUCCACAGGAAGGGGCGGGGCUUAGACUCACUUCUGGUUCCACAAAACCAAGAUGGCGUCUGCCCAAAUACCAAACAAGAGGCUUCAAAACAGUCGUGCACAAACUAACCGGUGGCGUCAGCCGCUAUGUCUGUGAAAUGAUCUUUGUCUCACAGAAACAAAUAGAUUUUUUUUGAGGAUUAGAUGAAAGUUUUAUUUUGUAAACUGACAAAUGAGUUUGCUGCAGAAGGAAACUUCUUGGAUCAGCUGAUGAUCAGCUGUUAUAUUAUUAUUAUUGAGCUUGUGUGGUGAGUUUUUAUUAUUUGCUUUAAUUUUAUAUUUACUGUAUUUUAUUGUUUCAUGUAUCUUAAGUCUGUGUUUUAGUCCUCAGGGACAAUAAAGUUAAAGUUGAAGUA